GUCGCUAGUAGUCCAGUCCUGGCCGCUCAGGCCUCCCUGGGGAGUUACUGCUACUAUCGUCUUAUCUUGGAAAUUAUGGAGUCUAAAUAAGCUGGCGUUCCAAGAGUUUCGACUUUGACAUUUCGUCUUGCACAAAUGCUUGCGGAUUCGUUUGCAGAUUAUGGCUUCAAGGUUGUUUUUUUACACCUUCACUGGGCCUGGAAAACAUUCCUAAAGGAUUCUGGCUGUCCACUAAGGGGAAGCGAAAUGGCCCGGCUUCUCUUUCCCGUCUGCCAACAAGCCGAGGAACGCCGCCCGAGCCUUCUGCUACCGUUCUUGCUUUUCUCUCCUUCCCACCCCCUCCACCGUCCCUCCGGCCAGGCCGGGUUUGGAAUCCCCCUCCGGGUGAGUGACCCACGCUACUCGUGGCACAAAGGAGUCAAGCGUUCAUCAGUUCAGCAAACACAUGGGACCCUGGUAGGAUCUUUGGUCUUCUUCCUUCUUGGUGGUGGAGAGGCGGAUGGUGUGAGGAGAGUGAGACCGCGUCAGGGAGAGGGGCUGGAAGGACACAGCCAUGGUCCAGACGCCAGGUGGCUGGCGGGGCAGCAGCCAGACGGAGAAGCGGAUGAAGGAGCUAGACACGUGGUAUCUCCCCAGGCAGGAGAGGGGGUUUGCGAGUUUCUGCUUUAAAUGGUUUAAUAACCAAGAGCAGAGACUGAGGAUUGAGGGUGAGGGGUUGAGAGAGGAGCGAGAAGUAAUGAGUUCUGUCUUGAACAG
rnacentral:lncRNA from 1 species